GACGUAGGGCGCGAGCGUUGUCCGGAUUUAUUGGGCGUAAAGAGCUCGUAGGCGGCUCAGUAAGUCAGGUGUGAAAACUCCAGGCUCAACCUGGAGACGCCACCUGAUACUGCUGUGGCUAGAGUCCGGUAGGGGAGCAUGGAAUUCCAGGUGUAGCGGUGAAAUGCGUAGAUAUCUGGAGGAACACCGGUGGCGAAGGCGGCAUCCUGGACCGGUAUUGACGCUGAUGCGCGAAAGCCAGGGGAGCAAACGGG
rnacentral:rRNA from 1 species